rnacentral:piRNA from 1 species
UGCUGAACACCAACCAGAUUGGUCAUUAGAGA